GGAGGGAUUCCCGAGCGGUCAAAGGGGGCAGACUGUAAAUCUGUUGGCUCAGCCUUCGGAGGUUCGAAUCCUCCUCCCUCCACCA
rnacentral:tRNA from 1 species